rnacentral:rRNA from 1 species
UGUAACGGGGCUAAACCAUGCACCGAAGCUGCGGCAGCGACACUGUGUGUUGUUGGGUAGGGGAGCGUUCUGUAAGCCUGUGAAGGUGUGUCGUGAGGCAUGCUGGAGGUAUCAGAAGUGCGAAUGCUGACAUAAGUAACGAUAAAGCGGGUGAAAAGCCCGCUCGCCGGAAGACCAAGGGUUCCUGUCCAACGUUAAUCGGGGCAGGGUGAGUCGACCCCUAAGGCGAGGCCGAAAGGCGUAGUCGAUGGGAAACGGGUUAAUAUUCCCGUACUUGGUGUUACUGCGAAGGGGGGACGGAGAAGGCUAUGUUGGCCGGGCGACGGUUGUCCCGGUUUAAGCGUGUAGGUGUGUGUUCCAGGUAAAUCCGGUUCACUUUAACACUGAGGCGUGACGACGAGGCACUACGGUGCUGAAGCAACAAAUGCCCUGCUUCCAGGAAAAGCCUCUAAGCAUCAGGUAACAUCAAAUCGUACCCCAAACCGACACAGGUGGUCAGGUAGAGAAUACCAAGGCGCUUGAGAGAACUCGGGUGAAGGAACUAGGCAAAAUGGUGCCGUAACUUCGGGAGAAGGCACGCUGACACGUAGGUGAAGUGAUUUACUCAUGGAGCUGAAGUCAGUCGAAGAUACCAGCUGGCUGCAACUGUUUAUUAAAAACACAGCACUGUGCAAACACGAAAGUGGACGUAUACGGUGUGACGCCUGCCCGGUGCCGGAAGGUUAAUUGAUGGGGUCAGCGCAAGCGAAGCUCCUGAUCGAAGCCCCGGUAAACGGCGGCCGUAACUAUAACGGUCCUAAGGUAGCGAAAUUCCUUGUCGGGUAAGUUCCGACCUGCACGAAUGGCGUAAUGAUGGCCAGGCUGUCUCCACCCGAGACUCAGUGAAAUUGAACUCGCUGUGAAGAUGCAGUGUACCCGCGGCAAGACGGAAAGACCCCGUGAACCUUUACUAUAGCUUGACACUGAACAUUGAGCCUUGAUGUGUAGGAUAGGUGGGAGGCUUUGAAGUGUGGACGCCAGUCUGCAUGGAGCCGACCUUGAAAUACCACCCUUUAAUGUUUGAUGUUCUAACGUGGACCCGUUACCCGGGUUGCGGACAGUGUCUGGUGGGUAGUUUGACUGGGGCGGUCUCCUCCUAAAGAGUAACGGAGGAGCACGAAGGUUGGCUAAUCCUGGUCGGACAUCA